UACCUGGUUGAUCCUGCCAGUAGUCAUAUGCUUGUCUCAAAGAUUAAGCCAUGCAUGUCUAAGUAUAAACAAGUUUGUACUGUGAAACUGCGAAUGGCUCAUUAAAUCAGUUAUACUGAGACUGCCAAGGCACACAGGGGAUAGG
rnacentral:ncRNA from 1 species